rnacentral:tRNA from 1 species
GGAAGAGUGCCGGAGAGGUCGAACGGGACGGUCUCGAAAACCGUUGUACGCUCGCGUACCGUGGGUUCGAAUCCCACCUCUUCCGCCA